GACGAACGCUGGCGGCGUGCUUAACACAUACAAGUCGAACGGAAAGACCCUGCUUUUGUGGGGUGCUCGAGUGGCGAACGGGUGAGUAACACGUGAGUAACCUGCCCUUGACUUUGGGAUAACUUCAGGAAACUGGGGCUAAUACCGGAUAGGAGCUCCUGCUGCAUGGUGGGGGUUGGAAAGUUUCGGCGGUUGGGGAUGGACUCGCGGCUUAUCAGCUUGUUGGUGGGGUAGUGGCUUACCAAGGCUUUGACGGGUAGCCGGCCUGAGAGGGUGACCGGCCACAUUGGGACUGAGAUACGGCCCAGACUCCUACGGGAGGCAGCAGUGGGGAAUAUUGCACAAUGGGCGGAAGCCUGAUGCAGCAACGCCGCGUGCGGGAUGACGGCCUUCGGGUUGUAAACCGCUUUCGCCUGUGACGAAGCGUGAGUGACGGUAAUGGGUAAAGAAGCACCGGCUAACUACGUG
rnacentral:rRNA from 1 species